AGAGUUUGAUCCUGGCUCAGGAUGAACGCUAGCUACAGGCUUAACACAUGCAAGUCGAGGGGAAACGACAUCGAAAGCUUGCUUUUGAUGGGCGUCGACCGGCGCACGGGUGAGUAACGCGUAUCCAACCUGCCCACCACUUGGGGAUAACCUUGCGAAAGUAAGACUAAUACCCAAUGACGUCUCUAGAAGACAUCUGAAAGAGAUUAAAGAUUUAUCGGUGAUGGAUGGGGAUGCGUCUGAUUAGCUUGUUGGGCGGGGUAACGGCCCACAAGGGCGACGAUCAGUAGGGGUUCUGAGAGGAGGUCCCCCANAUUGGAACUGAGACACGGUCCAAACUCCUACGGGAGCA
rnacentral:rRNA from 1 species